UGAUCCUGUCUGAGAGAACAUUCGAGGAGAGUGUAGGCUGGUUGGGAGUUGUAACACUGCUCAUUCUCUCAAAAUGUCGGCGCCUGUAGAAGACACGUUUUCGAGUUGAGCAGGAUGAUUAUGAGAUGGAGUUACAUCGGGAUGCCACUAGGACAGGGACACGGAAAGGUGGGAUUUCGAAUGAGGAAUGGAGGAGGAAAAUGAGGAAGAAGAAGUCGAAGAGAAUGAGGAAAGCAGAGGCUGAAUUGGAAUUUGAUAAAGAUGGUUUCUUCCUAGGUUCUGGCCUUUCUAGGGAGUUUUUCCUAGCCACCGUGCUUCUACACCUGCAUUGCUUGCUGUUUGGGGUUUUAGGCUGGGUUUCUGUACAGCACUUUGUGACAUUAGCUGAUGUAAGAAGGGCUUUAUAAAUACAUUUGAUUUGAUUUGAAAUGGAAGUGAAUGAGGGAGAUUUAAGUGAGGUGGGAGGUAUGGUGAGGAUCUCGGAACCUGAGCCUUGCAUUGAUGGACAUGGUUAUGAUAUAGAUGAGUUUUGCCCAGUUUUUCUCACGCUGGUGCUGCAGAUGGAUAUAUCCUCCAAUACAGGACUAUUAAAGGCCCAGUGCACAAAUUUUGUGGACCAAAAAAAAGUUACAUGCCUGUGAGUAGUAGAUCUGUGCCAGCACAGAGGAAUAGGCCAAGGAGUGAUAUAUGCUUCCGUAAGGUGGGCUUCUUAGCGUUCAUAGCAAUGGUUAUCAACUGUACCUCAGAAAUGGAAUGUCAGUCACAGAAAAUACAUGUUGUGUUGGCAGCUGCAGUACUUGUGUGUACGAGAUUUGACUUCUGAAGAGUUAGAGAGUGUGUUGAGAGGUGGUGUCCUGUCCUCCCAGACCGUUGGCAUGGUGCAGGAGCAGAUAGGGUCAAAGUAGUGGAAUUGGGAUUGGGUAGUCAAAAGGGUGUAUUAUUAUAAAAAUGUUGGUAUAUAUCUUUGGGGUAUCACAAAGUAUAAUGGAUUUAUACUAUACUCAAGUUGGGGGCAUUAAUGCAACAUGUUAGAUGCCUACCGCCGUUAAACCCCACCGAAGAAGACGAAGAAGAAGACAUGCAGCACUGUCUCACAGGCUGCAUGCCGCCCCCAAGACCAGAACCAAUCGCAUGCAGGGAACAAUGAGUCAUCAAAGCCACAUUCAAACAGAGCCAGAAAGCUGAAGCCUAGAGGAAAAAAGGCAGUACAUCAUUGGCUAAUAAGACAAGAUGGAGGAAAUCUAGUGAUUCAUCAACAAGGAAUGCUGUGAUAAGAGGAAUGGUGUCUCUGAAGCAUUGCAGUACAGAUUAUGUCCCAAACCCAGACCAUCCUGCGGACUUCCUGCCUUAGCUGUGGGGACUUGAGUUCUCUUACCAAGACAACAAAGGAUUCCCCCUGUUUACAUUUGCCUCCUGGUGAAAUGAGUUACACGUUAACUCUUAUUUAAGCACUGCUGUUUGUUGUUUUGCUAUUAUAUUCCAACACACAGGUUCUCCUCCCGGCGUGUGUUCUGAUAGAAGCACUGUGGAGUCAAUGUUCAAUUAGACCAGUGACAAUAAAUGCACUGUUGAAGAUGA